UUCUCUCUAUGUAUAUUUUUGAAGCCGCCGUGGAAAGACCCGAUAUAUCUCAACCCGACCCAACUCAAUUAAACUUCUGGCCUUCACUGGUUCUUUAUUUAACGGAGCCGAAUCCUUUCGUUGAAAAACCCUAAUUUUGUAAUGUAUCCACCGCCGUACUCGUUAAUCUCCGGCGCCGUAUUAGCAUCAGAGUUUCUGAUUCUUUAGCUUCUAUAUAAUUCCCAAGAUCUCGUUUUUUUUUUAUGUCUUGUGAGUCCUCUCUCGUCAAGUAUGCGCUUUUUCCGAUUCGUGUUUUGUUACCAGUCAUUUUCAGACAUAGCGACGAAGAAGCUAUGAUAGAUGGAUUUCUUAUGUGGGUUUUGUUCUGAUUAAUCACCCCUUACAUUAUAACCUGAAUCUGUAGUAAAGUUUUAUGCUUUGCUUUGAGAUUGAUG
rnacentral:lncRNA from 1 species